rnacentral:rRNA from 1 species
AGCACGGGUGCUUGCACCUGGUGGCGAGUGGCGAACGGGUGAGUAAUACAUCGGAACAUGUCCUGUAGUGGGGGAUAGCCCGGCGAAAGCCGGAUUAAUACCGCAUACGAUCUACGGAUGAAAGCGGGGGACCUUCGGGCCUCGCGCUAUAGGGUUGGCCGAUGGCUGAUUAGCUAGUUGGUGGGGUAAAGGCCUACCAAGGCGACGAUCAGUAGCUGGUCUGAGAGGACGACCAGCCACACUGGGACUGAGACACGGCCCAGACUCCUACGGGAGGCAGCAGUGGGGAAUUUUGGACAAUGGGCGAAAGCCUGAUCCAGCAAUGCCGCGUGUGUGAAGAAGGCCUUCGGGUUGUAAAGCACUUUUGUCCGGAAAGAAAUCCUUGGUUCUAAUAUAACCGGGGGAUGACGGUACCGGAAGAAUAAGCACCGGCUAACUACGUGCCAGCAGCCGCGGUAAUACGUAGGGUGCGAGCGUUAAUCGGAAUUACUGGGCGUAAAGCGUGCGCAGGCGGUUUGUUAAGACCGAUGUGAAAUCCCCGGGCUCAACCUGGGAACUGCAUUGGUGACUGGCAAGCUAGAGUAUGGCAGAGGGGGGUAGAAUUCCACGUGUAGCAGUGAAAUGCGUAGAGAUGUGGAGGAAUACCGAUGGCGAAGGCAGCCCCCUGGGCCAAUACUGACGCUCAUGCACGAAAGCGUGGGGAGCAACAGGAUUAGAUACCCUGGUAGUCCACGCCCUAAACGAUGUCAACUAGUUGUUGGGGAUUCAUUUCCUUAGUAACGUAGCUAACGCGUGAAGUUGACCGCCUGGGGAGUACGGUCGCAAGAUUAAAACUCAAAGGAAUUGACGGGGA